AGUAGUUUGAUCAGUGGCUCAGAUUAGAACGCUGGCGGAAUGCUUUACACAUGCAAGUCGAACGGCAGCACGGGGCAACCUGGUGGCGAGUGGCGAACGGGUGAGUAAUACAUCGGAACGUGCCCAAUCGUGGGGAUAACGUAGCGAAAGUUACGCUAAUACCGCAUACGAUCUACGGAUGAAAGCGGGGGAUCGCAAGACCUCGCGCGAGUGGAGCGGCCGAUGUCAGAUUAGGUAGUUGGUGGGGUAAAGGCUCACCAAGCCAACGAUCUGUAGCUGGUCUGAGAGGACGACCAGCCACACUGGAACUGAGACACGGUCCAGACUCCUACGGGAGGCAGCAGUGGGGAAUUUUGGACAAUGGGCGCAAGCCUGAUCCAGCCAUUCCGCGUGCAGGAUGAAGGCCUUCGGGUUGUAAACUGCUUUUGUACGGAACGAAACGGCGAGCUCUAAUACAGUUUGCUAAUGACGGUACCGUAAGAAUAAGCACCGGCUAACUACGUG
rnacentral:rRNA from 1 species